CCUACGGGUGGCAGCAGUGAGGAAUAUUGGUCAAUGGGCGCGAGCCUGAACCAGCCAAGUCGCGUGAGGGAAGACGGUCCUAUGGAUUGUAAACCUCUUUUGUCGGGGAGCAAAAGACGCAACGCGUGGCGUUCCGAGAGUACCCGAAGAAAAAGCAUCGGCUAACUCCGUGCCAGCAGCCGCGGUAAGACGGAGGAUGCGAGCGUUGUCCGGAUUUAUUGGGUUUAAAGGGUGGGCAGGUGGAAGAUCAAGUCAGCGGUAAAAUUGAGGGGCUCAACCUCUUCGAGCCGUUGAAACUGGUGUUCUUGAGUGAGUGAGAAGUAUGCGGAAUGCGUGGUGUAGCGGUGAAAUGCAUAGAUAUCACGCAGAACUCCGAUUGCGAAGGCAGCAUACCGGCGCUCAACUGACGCUCAUGCACGAAAGUGUGGGUAUCGAACAGGAUUAGAUACCCGAGUAGUC
rnacentral:rRNA from 1 species